rnacentral:lncRNA from 1 species
GAAGCUCCAAGUUAUCCGAGAACUUUGCCAUACUCGUCCAAACUGCUUGCCUUACCAUCUUCAGAUCCUCCAUUUCAUGUUUUACUUCACUCAAAGAUGACAAGAGAUUGGGUAGAUCUGGGUGAUUAAGGGAUGCACCAGAAGAAAGGUCUUGCAAGAUUUUUUCAAAUAUACUCAUAUAAAGAUGGCGAAGAUCUUGUGUUUCAUCACAAUAUUUCUGGCUCCCAGAGAUUGGAGUUGAGUUAGAUGGGAACUGUGACACUGCAUGAGAAUAUACAUGUGCAAUAGCUUCGAAUUUACACCCAGAAAAAAUCAUUGCUUGGCAGAAAUGUGAAAUUUCAAUAGUAAUGCUGCCAGUAAGGCCCUUCUCAACAUAGCGAACAAGAGUUCUCCAACCCUGUCUUGGUGAGACUUUCUUCCCCACAACCAGGUCUAGAAAACCUUCAACGCACACCAUUAAACAUCUCGGGUGAAAAUUUUCUGAACCCUCCUGGGACACAAAUUCCUGCAUGUCACCAGCUAGUUUUAACCAAAAUGUUAGCAUGAUUCUAAGGCAAUCCUGCCAGCUUGAAUCGCAAGAAAUAAUAUUCAAGGAAUUUUUAAAGGGUAGUAUUAUAUCUAAGUAUUGCUUCAUUAUUUCCAGGACAGCUGGACAUGUCAGUGCACUUAUAUAGUUUCUGCACAUAUCAUAUGUACUCUCAAGCUCAUUUAUGAAGUGCUGAAGAUUUUCAGGACUUUCAAAAGGAAUCCUGGAUUUAGCGCUUAAUCCCAACUCUGACAACAAACUCAAUACAUGGUGUUUGUAGACAUCGCGCCAUGAUAGAAGAACCUCCGAUUCUGGAUCCCCGCAGUAGUCAACAAGAGUCUGGACCAUCUUUGCUAGUGCUUCAACAGUAUGUAUAUCAAUGUGAGACAAGACCUCACUGCUGAAACUCUCAAGGUUUAGUCCUUGCAACCCAGCAAUAUUCUUAAAGUUCAGGCCCUGUAUAAAAGAAACUCUGGAACAUUCUUGCUCAACCACCUUAUAAAAAUGAGCCAACGCAUGAGCAGCUAUAUGUGGGGGUUUUGUAUCCAUCACGGGCAACAAGUCUUUAUCUUUUCCAAGCUGCAUGUAGCAGUCAGAUAGCAAGGCAUAUAAACAAGCUAGUCGUUGUUUGUCAUGCCCAUUAAUUGCAGGGUACACUGACAAGGAGAUGGUUUUUAUUGAUUCUGCAGCACAAGCAAGCACAUUGCCUUUAAAGAUUGAAAUUUCGGCCAUUAUAUCAUCAACAGCCCAAACAUCUGAAACAAGGACAGAAGCAAGGUACUGUUGUAGCACCUGAAACGUAAACAGAGAGAAAUUAAGAUAUGACUUCCAGCAGUAUGCAUAUANACUACCAGAGUAUUAUCUGUCAUUUACGUUUGUAUUUUGCAGUAUCUAUUUUAUCUUGUGUUACUUUGUUUCUUUCUUACAGUGAUUAAUCAAAUGUAGGAAACAGACUAAUCAUGAGAUUAUAACACUAAACAUUGACAAAAUCUAAUAACCUCUAUCAUCUAACAUUGGUAGAAAUCAUAGACAAUGCAGUUUGGAUUAGAUUCCCUAAUCUGCCUUUCAACUGGGCAACAGUAUUUGCCAAAGGUUCACAGAAGUCCCUAUCUGCAGAAGCAGAUGCAUCAUCUUGAAGAACUUGAAGCUGCUGCAUUUCUAAAUAUUUCCGGAGACUGGCCUCUGCAACAUUAAUUAAACUGAGAGAUGCAUUUGUAUGCAUGAAUUUCGUGACCAGGAUCCCAGCUAGAAUCUGCUGAUCUGCCUUCACAAGCUCUGUUAUAAAACAGGGAAAAAGUAAUUUUCCGAAAAGUAACAUAAUAUAUUUCUCUUUGCUUUCUGGUUCGUAUACCCUUCUUUGUUUGAGACUAGGCAGCCGGUCUUCCUGGCACUGGCGAGAUAGAUUCCCAACAAUAUAGCAAAUAUAUGAAAAGGUGGUUCCAUAGGAAGUUUUAGUGAUGAUCUUUGUAAUGAUUCCGGAGUGCAAUGCAAGAAUUAGAAACUCAACAUCUCUAGAAAUUGCGUCUGAAAUGCCUACUUGCUUGAGUUUAUCUUCAACUGAAUCCAAACACAAUAGCUGUGUUCCAUCAUAAGGCAGCAAGAGAGCCAUCUUGAGAGCUGCAAAGCAAUCCAACUCGGCAGUAGUUUGGCUCAUGUGAAGGGUGCCAUUAUCAUCCAGCAAGAUGCCAGUAGUCUUUGCCAAGGAUCUAUCUAUCAACAUCAACAAAUCUCUAAAUCGAGAUAAUUGCACCAUCUUCUUAAAGAUCUCCAACCAACAAGCAUGCAGAGGAUGAACUACAAGCGUGUUCUCCUUCAGUUCCUUGUCCAAGGGUUCUUGAAAGCUUUCCCAUCCAUCAUCCCAAUCAUCACUGCCCCAAUUGUUUCCGGCAUCAGUUGUUUCGGUGGAAUUUGCCUCAGCUCUACCUGAUGGAAAUAGCCCUUCCCACUCUUCCAAAAUGGCUAUCAAACAAUCACAAUGGCUUCCAACUUCAGCAGCUUCACAUAAUAUCGAGAAGCAAGAAACUGCUGAUUCAACGGUCACAAGAUCUUUUGGAGUAAUCUGUAAACUGGGAGAGAUAGCAGACACCAGCUGUGACGACUUGAGGGCGACUAGAGUAUUAGCAAAUCUACUCGAAGCUUCAGUAUUAACAUUUUGCACACCAUGAUCAACGGUAGUCUCAGUGUCAGCAUCUGUUCUUUGUAAACCAUCCCACCCUUCCCAUGGAACAAUAUUGGCCUGUAUCUCAGCGGAAAAUGCCUUCAAAGUUCGACCUCUAGAUGAAAUAGAUUGCAUAAGCUCCAGGAUGUAAACUCGCACAUGGUCAGGAAGCUCCAAGUUAUCCGAGAACUUUGCCAUACUCGUCCAAACUGCUUGCCUUACCAUCUUCAGAUCCUCCAUUUCAUGUUUUACUUCACUCAAAGAUGACAAGAGAUUGGGUAGAUCUGGGUGAUUAAGGGAUGCACCAGAAGAAAGGUCUUGCAAGAUUUUUUCAAAUAUACUCAUAUAAAGAUGGCGAAGAUCUUGUGUUUCAUCACAAUAUUUCUGGCUCCCAGAGAUUGGAGUUGAGUUAGAUGGGAACUGUGACACUGCAUGAGAAUAUACAUGUGCAAUAGCUUCGAAUU